UCGUAUAAAGAGAUAAAGCAGGGCUGUCUGAAGUUUGUUUAAGGCGGAAAGCAUGCGGGCAGGACAGCACGUGUGUUGACCCAUUGGGAGUAAAUCUUUACGUGUGCCCGUCUGUCCACUUCUAUUGGGUGCCAGAUCAGUUGAGCAAAGGUUCACAAGAUGAAGAUCAGACGCUUUACGAUUAGGAACUAUGAAGAAGAAAUGCCUAAGAUUGCGCAAAAAGUUCUGGAAAAGAGUCAUGACUCGAAAGUGAACGCAAUUAUAUUAAUAGGAAGUGGAUAUUAGGCCUAAUGAUGACUUUGGCGGGCUGAAGGAAAGUGUGACCAUCACUUACCCACUGGAAUCGAGCAGGAGGAAACUGUUAUCAAAUGAUUAACCAAAAUGAAUGAUGAUUCUGAGGAAGUGCGUUGCUCUUUGAAGUGAGGAAGGAAGGUUGAGAGAGCUCUCUCUCCAGCACAUGCCUCCCUCAUUAGUGUCCAGCAGCCGAAGACGCGAGGUCACAAACCCAAUGAGCUGCCCAUUUCAUUCAGCUUUGCUGACAUGGAAAGAUGACCACAGUGACCUAAUGUUGCAGGACGGUCUGACAGCACAUUGUACACAUAUAAAGUAGCCUGAGUAACCCUUGAACCUUGGGUGGAGUGCAUUAUUUUGUAUGAAACUGCUAUAUUGUCCAACUUUUCAACAUGCUUGUAGAUUUUAUUCAUUCAAUAAAUUGUGCAUUUUUCAAAAAAAAAAAAAAAAAGGGAACAGGUCUUGUGAUUUAUUUGCUGAACCGGCGUGGGUAAUGAAAUAUUUAAUAUCCUGUGUAUUAAAAUGAUCAGUCUCGAAUCCAUUGACAUGGUUGAAUCAGUACUACACUAAGGGACUUCUGCACAGGGAGUUAUUGCUUCAGUCUGAACAUGUCACCUCUACAAUAUUUCUAUGAUUAUAAUGUACAAUUAUCCUUUCUUUUCUUGUUCUCUGGCUUGCCAUUGUUUAAACAUUUCACACGCACAAUAUGAAAGAACAAUAAAGUCUAGACUCAAUGUCAUUGCUUGGAUUUGAUUUAUACACUUAAGUAUUACAC